AACGAACGCUGGCGGCAGGCUUAACACAUGCAAGUCGAACGCCCCGCAAGGGGAGUGGCAGACGGGUGAGUAACGCGUGGGAAUCUACCGUACCCUACGGAAUAACGCAUGGAAACGUGUGCUAAUACCGUAUACGCCCUUAGGGGGAAAGAUUUAUCGGGGUAUGAUGAGCCCGCGUUGGAUUAGCUAGUUGGUGGGGUAGAGGCCUACCAAGGCGACGAUCCAUAGCUGGUCUGAGAGGAUGAUCAGCCACAUUGGGACUGAGACACGGCCCAAACUCCUACGGGAGGCAGCAGUGGGGAAUAUUGGACAAUGGGCGCAAGCCUGAUCCAGCCAUGCCGCGUGAGUGAUGAAGGUCUUAGGAUUGUAAAGCUCUUUCACCGAUGAAGAUAAUGACGGUAGUCGGAGAAGAAGCCCCGGCUAACUUCGUGCCAGCCGCCGCCGUAAUAC
rnacentral:rRNA from 1 species